rnacentral:rRNA from 1 species
GAUGAACGCUGGCGGCGUGCCUAAUACAUGCAAGUCGAGCGAACGGACGAGAAGCUUGCUUCUCUGAUGUUAGCGGCGGACGGGCGAGUAACACGUGGAUAACCUACCUCUAAGACUUGGAUAACUUCGUGAAACCGGAGCUAAUACCGGCUAAUAUUUUGAACCGCAUGGUUCAAAAGUGAAAGACGGUCUUGCUGUCACUUAUAGAUGGAUCCGCGCUGCAUUAGCUAGUUGGUAAGGUAACGGCUUACCAAGGCAACGAUGCGUAGCCGACCUGAGAGGGUGAUCAGCCACACUGGAACUGAGACACGGUCCAGACUCCUACGGGAGGCAGCAGUAGGGAAUCUUCCGCAAUGGGCGAAAGCCUGACGGAGCAACACCGCGUGAGUGAUGAAGGUCUUCGGAUCGUAAAGCUCUGUUAUUAGGAAAGAACAGAUGUGUAAGUAACUGUGGACAUCUUGACGGUACCUAAUCAGAAAGCCACGGCUAACUACGUG